rnacentral:rRNA from 1 species
UACGAAGGGGGCGAGCGUUGUUCGGAUUUACUGGGCGUAAAGGGCGCGUAGGCGGCCGCUCAAGUCAGGCGUGAAAGCCCCGGGCUCAACCUGGGAGGUGCGCUUGGGACUGGGUGGCUGGAGUUCGGGAGAGGAGCGUGGAAUUCCCAGUGUAGAGGUGAAAUUCGUAGAUAUUGGGAAGAACACCGGUGGCGAAGGCGGAUCUCUGGGCCAUUACUGACGCUGAGGAGCGAAAGCGUGGGGAGCGAACAGG